CACCGCGGUUAUACGAGGAGCUCAAGCUGAUAUCUCCGGCACAAAGCGUGAUUAAAAUAUUUAGCUUAAUUAAUACUAUAGAAGCCAUCAUGCCUGCUAGUUAAAUAGGUAUGCCUAAGUAUCCCAACAUCGAAAGAAUCUAUAUUAAUAAGCUCACUUUGAUAUCACGAAAGCAAAACUCA
rnacentral:rRNA from 1 species